rnacentral:tRNA from 1 species
GGGCGCAUAGUUCAGUGGCAGAACGCCUCGUUCACAUCGAGGAGGUCGGAGGUUCAAAUCCUCCUGCGCCCA